AUCAACUCUAAGUAUACAUGUAUCCCCUCCCUCUUCUUCCUCCCUCCUCUCCCCCCCAACCUCUCCACCCACUAGUUCCCCUACCCACUACGCCCACCCCCACCAUCCAGCCUCUCUAGGUUGUCACAGAGCAGGAACUCCCUAAUAGUAUACUUUCUGUGUGUCAAUCAAAAGUAAUACCUUCACAUAUAUGCUUUUGCUCAACACAUUGUACAACAAUAUCUCUGUCAGUAUUAACUACCAUAAUAUGUCCUGAUAAAGGUAAAUGAUACUUUGAGGUAGCUACAACCACAUGAUAUGACUUGUAUGAGUCUGUGAUUUCUAUUGGCCUAAGUUUAAAAUUGAAGGAACUGGUAGAUUUCAAAUAAUGGUUACUUAAAAAUGAAGUCUUAAUGGGUCCUCUGAAUUCUUUCCAUAGAUCCCUUCAGGGUCCUAAAAUCCCUAGUUAAGAAAUCCUGUACUUCAGUGAUUACUGAGAAACCCCAGGAAGUAAAAGACUGAAUGAAUAGGGGUCACCUUCAUUUCAAGGAAACUGCUUUUAUUUUGCUUUAUAUGUUAGAAUUUCAUGUAAAAUUUCACUUGAAAUAAAAAUGGUUUCUGGAACUAAAUAUGUAAUUUUGAAGACAAUUAUAAACAAACACCUUGAUUCUUUAUCUUGGUUUUUUUUAAACUUAAAACUUAUUUCUUUUGUAAACAUUCUCUGUACAUUAGUACACAAUCAAGUUGAUAAAUAAAGAUUUAGAAGUCAACAGGAUAUAAUUGAAAUGUAUGGAACAUCAGUAAGGUUGCCCAGCAGUAGUAUGUGUGAGUGUAGCCCAAGAUGAGGAACAAUAAGCAGAAGAAGAGUUGCCUGGAAAGAAGACAGAGAGAAGGAGUUGUCAGAGGGAUAAGAGGACAACAUGAUUUCUGCUAUGUUAAAGAAGCAAAGGGUAUCAGUGCUGUGGAGAUGUCGUAGAUGAUGACGAGAGAAUUCACUGAACCUGGCUAUUAAGGAGGUGAGUAGCCUUUUCUACAUCAUUUUCAGCAGAGUGAAGAGGGCAGAUGCCAUGUUGGAAGGGCUUGAAGACUCAACGAGAAGUGAUGUGGAGACAGUGUCGUAUGUACCCGUGACUUUCAGAGUGCUUAGAAACACUGUAAAAUCUGGGGCUGCAAGCUCUAUAUCAAGAUAAGAGAAGUGAGAUUUAAAUAGAGAUUCAAGGACCUUACUUUCUACAGUAAUCCUGGACCAAAGUCAGUGGAAUUAGGUGGGUGGCCAUCCAAACCAUGGCAGUUAAUUUGUGGUUGCCUUUAUUACGGUGAUGGAUCCUAUGAAUAGUUAAAUUAACAGAAAACAAAACAGACAAUUCAAACCAUCACAGCUUUUUUUAAGGUAGCAUGAACUUCAGCUCAUGUGAUGUACAAACAAGCCUAUCGAAAGCAAAUUAAGAAAUCCCACUUACUAAUGCCGGUUUUUUCACAUCCCCACAUUUCAUGCAUGGACAUGAGGAAGGAGUUGUGAGAGAGAACUGACCAAAACUGAAGUUUUACCAAAAAUACCAAGAGGAGGGGUUACUUUCUUCCUGGACAGUGACAUAUAUCAGAGCUGUGUUUUCCCCUGUAACCAGCGUGGGAUGAUACUUUGGUCCUUCUAUUCACUGCCACCAUGUGCUAUCCAAGUCCUGGAAGAUUAAACAGAAACAAAACAAAAGAUUAUCUUCACUUUCCUAGUUUGAAUCAGUGGAUUUAAACAAAGUGUAUUAUUCUCUGAUCACAAUGGAGUAGAGUUAGAAAUUAGUAAUGGAAAGAAAUUUAGGAAAUUCACAAUAUGUAGAAAUCAGCUCCUAAAUUUUAAAUUAAAUCAAGAUUGGAAAAUUGGUUCUUUAUGAAAGAAAAGAGAUUUCCUAACCUAGCAUCAUGAUUGUACCCCCUCCUCCACUGUUCCUCCAAUGUCCUGUGCUGCUUCUUCACAGGGACUUUGUUUUUUAGUUUGUUUUUUCUUUUGUUUUUUUUUUUUUUCAUUUAUUUUUAUUAGUUGGAGGCUAAUUACUUUACAAUAUUGUAGUG